AUUGAACGCUGGCGGCAGGCCUAACACAUGCAAGUCGAGCGGAUGAAGGGAGCUUGCUCCUGGAUUCAGCGGCGGACGGGUGAGUAAUGCCUAGGAAUCUGCCUGGUAGUGGGGGAUAACGUCCGGAAACGGGCGCUAAUACCGCAUACGUCCUGAGGGAGAAAGUGGGGGAUCUUCGGACCUCACGCUAUCAGAUGAGCCUAGGUCGGAUUAGCUAGUUGGUGGGGUAAAGGCCUACCAAGGCGACGAUCCGUAACUGGUCUGAGAGGAUGAUCAGUCACACUGGAACUGAGACACGGUCCAGACUCCUACGGGAGGCAGCAGUGGGGAAUAUUGGACAAUGGGCGAAAGCCUGAUCCAGCCAUGCCGCGUGCGUGAAGAAGGUCUUCGGAUUGUAAAGCACUUUAAGUUGGGAGGAAGGGCAGUAAGUUAAUACCUUGCUGUUUUGACGUUACCAACAGAAUAAGCACUGGCUAACUUCGUG
rnacentral:rRNA from 1 species